rnacentral:rRNA from 1 species
AUUGAACGCUGGCGGCAUGCCUUACACAUGCAAGUCGAACGGUAACAGGGAGCUUGCUCCGCUGACGAGUGGCGAACGGGUGAGUAAUGCGUCGGAACGUGCCGAGUAGUGGGGGAUAACGCAGCGAAAGUUGUGCUAAUACCGCAUACGUACUGAGGUAGAAAGUGGGGGACCUUCGGGCCUCACGCUAUUCGAGCGGCCGACGUCUGAUUAGCUAGUAGGUGAGGUAAAGGCUCACCUAGGCGACGAUCAGUAGCGGGUCUGAGAGGAUGAUCCGCCACACUGGGACUGAGACACGGCCCAGACUCCUACGGGAGGCAGCAGUGGGGAAUUUUGGACAAUGGGCGAAAGCCUGAUCCAGCCAUGCCGCGUGUCUGAAGAAGGCCUUCGGGUUGUAAAGGACUUUUGUCGGGGAGGAAAUCCCCAGCGCUAAUACCGCUGGGGGAUGACAGUACCUGAAGAAUAAGCACCGGCUAACUACGUGCCAGCAGCCGCCGUAAUAC